rnacentral:rRNA from 1 species
UACGAAGGGUGCAAGCGUUAUCCGGAUUCAUUGGGUUUAAAGGGUGCGUAGGCGGGGCAAUAAGUCAGUGGUGAAAUCCUGCGGCUUAACCGUAGAAUUGCCAUUGAUACUGUUGCUCUUGAGUAGGCUCGACGUGGGCGGAAUAUGUCAUGUAGCGGUGAAAUGCUUAGAUAUUGGGAAGAACACCGGUGGCGAAGGCGGCCAUCUGGACCGGCACUGACGCUGAGGCGCGAAAGCCAGGGGAGCGAAUGGG